GAUGAACGCUGGCGGCGUGCCUAACACAUGCAAGUCGAGCGAUCUCUUCGGAGAGAGCGGCGGACGGGUGAGUAACGCGUGGGUAACCUGCCCUGUACACACGGAUAACAUACCGAAAGGUAUACUAAUACGGGAUAACAUAUAAAAGUCGCAUGGCUUUUGUAUCAAAGCUCCGGCGGUACAGGAUGGACCCGCGUCUGAUUAGCUAGUUGGUAAGGUAAUGGCUUACCAAGGCAACGAUCAGUAGCCGACCUGAGAGGGUGAUCGGCCACACUGGAACUGAGACACGGUCCAGACUCCUACGGGAGGCAGCAGUGGGGAAUAUUGCACAAUGGGCGAAAGCCUGAUGCAGCAACGCCGCGUGAGCGAUGAAGGCCUUCGGGUCGUAAAGCUCUGUCCUCAAGGAAGAUAAUGACGGUACUUGAGGAGGAAGCCCCGGCUAACUACGUGCCAGCCGCCGCCGUAA
rnacentral:rRNA from 1 species